UGAUCCCCAUCCCGCUGGCCUCAGGACCGAUGAUCACGUGACCCAGGUUCUCCCCCCGACCGUCGUCUGUGGACUCGGCCACCGUCACCCUCAGCGACAGCUCCUGCAAACAGCACAACAUGGUUACACAACCUGCUAUCAAGAGUCUGAAGUGUCACCUGCAGGACGAGGGACGGCACAGAGAAGAUCAUGGCUUCGUUGAAGAUGGGGUUUGUGUCGUCCCUUUUGGUGGACGUCUUCUUCUUGCUGAUCUUCCUGCCGUCUUGCAGGAGAUAAACUUUGACGAACGGAUCUGACAAUGAGAAUGAGUGAAGGUUCUUGCACUUGGCCACAACCACAGUGAGGCGCUCUGCUGUGGGCAAAUAGCUGAGAGACAAGAGGAUCUCGCCAACUGCAUCUACAGCCUGUGGAGUCAAAGCAGAACACGGCAACACAUGUCAUAUAACACAGGAUGAGUGACAUGUGUUCACAGGGGUCUGACCAAUCAGAGUUCAGUGCUUUUAGGUGAAAUACUGCUAACAUACUGUAUAUUCAGAUGAAAUAUUUAAACUAAAGCAAUCACAUCCCGGGAAACUGCACAUUUUGAAAUGGGACAAUAAUUUAAAAUGUAACGUGAGGCCAACAUAUGUAAUAUCUAAAACCUUUUCAACAUGUUUGAUUCCAUUUUAAUAUCCAAUUGAUAAUUAAUCACUAUAAGAGAAAAUAUGGAUAUUAAAAUAAUAAUUGCUAGAUUUAAGGACCUUUUAUUGUUUUACUGUGCAUCAGUUAAUGGAAAUCAACAAAGUUACAGCCUUUUAAAUAUGCUCCAUCCAUUUAGUUGAUUAGAAUUAAACAUGGUAAAAGCCAACAAC